GGAGAGUAUGCUCAGUGGUAGAGUACAUGCCUAGCAUGCAUGAGGGCCUGGGUUCAAUCCCCAGUACCUCCA
rnacentral:tRNA from 1 species